UCCAACUCUUGUUUCCAAAAAGGGACAUGGCUGACCUCCAUAGGUGGAACUCAGAAUCAUGGACUGCCACUAAAAUGUUGACAUCUCCACAGGAAAGUUAACACAAGAGAAGGACCAGCUGACCAGUCACACAUUUGUAAUCCAAUCCAUAUUAUUGAACAGCACAUACUUGGCAACUGUCACUCCAGUCCAGAUGGAGAAGACUUUCUGGUUCACAUCCCAAGAAAGUUUCAUGAGGGCUAGAAGACACAAAGAAAAGUUCAGGAGGGAUUCUGGUGAGUGCUGAAAUUUUUUACAAAACUGCAUGUUUAAAAUAACUGAGUGGAACCCUGUAAUAUAAGCUGAAUUCCCUCACUGACUGAUGACAAUCCUAGUAAAUAUACACAGCAUAACCCUGAUGAACUGAAACUUCUGGUUUACUGAGGUUCAUUUACAUUGACUGUCCUGCAUCUUCCUAGCAUGCUGGAGAAGUGAGCUGGCCAGUAGACUUUCACAUAUAUGCUCCAGAGUUGGGAACCCCGACUUAAAUGAGCUCAGACUUAGAUUCAUAGAUUUUAAAGCCAGAAAGGACCAUUACACCGCCUAGUCGACCUCUUGCACUUCACAGACCAUAGAAUUUCACCCAGUUACCUUUGUAUUGAGCCCCAAUAACUUGUUUCGCUCAAGCAUGUCUCCCAGGAAGUCAUCUAGUCUUGAUUCGGAGAUGUCAAGAGAUGAUAGUUUAUUAUAAUGGUUAAUCCUCAAAGCUUCUUGGGCUGACUCCGUCAACCAUUUUGAACCUCUGACUAUCUGAAGUUUUCAGAUGUUCCCC
rnacentral:lncRNA from 1 species